rnacentral:sRNA from 1 species
UCCGUGCUGAGAUUAGUUUGCAAGGGC